GCAUGGAGGUGGGCACCUGUAGUCCCAGCUGUUUGGGAGGCUGAGGCAGGCGGAUGGCUUAGUCCAGGAGUCCUGGGCUGUUGUGCACUAUGCUGAUCAAGUGUCUGCACUAAGUUGGGCAUCAAUAUGGUGACCUCCCAGGAGCGGAGGGCCACUAGGUUACCCGAAGAGGGGUGAACCAGCCCAGGUUGGAAAGGGAACAGGUCAAAACUCUCCUGCUGCUCAGUAGUGGGGUCACACCUGUGCAACAUAGUGAGCCCCCAAAUAACAAAAAUGGCCUUCUGC
ensembl:misc_RNA Metazoa_SRP Metazoan signal recognition particle RNA